rnacentral:antisense_RNA from 1 species
GGGGUGUGGGGCCGGAAGACCCUCCCCCGGCGUCUUCAGAGGAGCGCUGUUUUUGGAGGAGUUAGGGGAAGGAGGCUGCCUGGUAAGCCAGGAAAGGGGCUUCUGGCCGUUCUGUUGGAGCGCCUCUGACUGACUUCCCCCAUGUGUCCGUGUGGCCACACCGUGCUACUUUCAGAGGCAGUGGGCUUUUCGCUAAGGGAUAAAAAGAAGUAAAACCUUGCCUUUAGCGCAGCUCUCCUUCACUGGGCAGAUUGCUCUCCCUCCCCACUCUCCCAGGCCCAAAUUGGAUCUCAGCGCCUGGGAGCUCCAACUUUAGCAAGUGCGAAAUCCUGUCUUCGGUUUUGGAAUUUUCAUCCGCACAGACUAUAUCAGCCACGGAUAGGAUAUGUGAGAAUACCAGCAUGUCAAGGCUGGGAAUCAUCCUUAGGCAUCACCUAGCCAGUCCUGCCUCUCAUUUUAAGGUGAGGAUUCCUUCAUCUCUGUGACUGGCUUGCUUGAUGGUUAGGGUCUGAUCGCUGCCUGAGACACCAUAUCGGUACUCCUCAGAGUUGAGAAUAGACGCCUUGAUGGCUCCUCUGGCAGUUCUUGAUGACCAUGGAUGAGCUAAUGGCUGUGGUCUCAAUGGUGGCUUCUUGAGAUUAUUUACAGCUGUGAUGGUAUAUAAGCCAGUGUCACUCCUGCGAGACUGCGGAAUAACUAAAGUGCAAGUAUCAUCUACCACCAGUUUGUUGACAUGGGUGUCAUAGAGAACAGGUUCUUUGUUAUCAGGCUUCUUUGGAGGAGCUUUAAACCAGGAGCAUGCAGAGAAAUUGCUUUAGCCUCUGAUAAAUAAAACAGACUGCCAUGGAGAAAAUUACAGCGAGGAAAUUACAGACAUCAUCUCCUUUGAACAGGGAAAAGGUAACAGAUAUCGCACAG